rnacentral:lncRNA from 1 species
UAUAUACCCAUAACUUUUCUCCUUGAGUAUAUUAGAACUUAAAGAAUACUUAAAUAUAAAAAUGAUAUAGAAAAUACUAAUAUGAAGAUAUUCUUAGUGAAGCAAUUUUAUCAGCAUGAUAUAGACAUUAAAUGGAACAAAGACAAAAUAAUUUCAUUAUGGGUGCAUUUGGUAAAUGCUGGAAGUGGAAGCAGUGCGUGCUUGGGUCAUUGCCGGAAGAUUUCCAAGCAAGUCACUGGACAUUUUCUAAGUGCAAUGGGUGAUGUCAGAGCCAGUGUUUCUAGUGAGCUUAUAAUGCUGAGACUUUUUCAAACCAGCUUCCUUGCUAGCAAAGAUGGCAGCAUCCACGAGCGACAUGUUUGUUACUUUAAAUGUUAAAGAUUUGAAAAUAUUUUUGGAUGAUUUAAAAAAACCAAUAAGCAUAGGAAAUAAUGUUUUCAGUUUUAAAAAUACUAGAGUUAAGUUUUUUGUAACUUUCCGUGGGACCUUGUUUCUUACAAUCACAAUGAAGGUUAAGAAUCCCAAGCCAGU